GCAUCUUGUCUUUUGUUGUCUUGCUGUUGUCAGGUGGAUCACUCUGCAAUUUUGAGCAAUUUUCUUUUGUAAAAUUGCACGGUAUCCAUCUGUAAUCCGCAAGACAUUUUGCAUGUUAGAGCUA
rnacentral:pre_miRNA from 17 species